UCAAACUUGGUCAUUUAGAGGAAGUAAAAGUCGUAACAAGGUUUCCGUAGGUGAACCUGCGGAAGGAUCAUUACAAAAAUCAGAAGUGCUCCGGCGCUUUGGCAGCGAGGGGGGCAACCCCCGAACUGUUUAACCCUUUGUGAAAACCCUCUGUUGCCUCGGUGGCACCGGCGGCGCCCCUCCAGGCGCCGCGGGGUCAGCCCACCGGCGGCACCCAACCAAAACCCAUAACCAUUUUGAAGAAGCUGUCUGAAACCUAAAGUCGAAUGACUAUAAAACUUUCAACAACGGAUCUCUUGGUUCCCGCAUCGAUGAAGAACGCAGC
rnacentral:misc_RNA from 1 species